rnacentral:rRNA from 1 species
AUUCCAGCUCCAAUAGCGUAUAUUAAAGUUGUUGCGGUUAAAAAGCUCGUAGUUGGAUUUCUGCCGAGGAUGACCGGUCCGCCCUGUGGGUGUGCAUCUGGCUCAGCCUUGGCAUCUUCCUGAAGAACGUAGCUGCACUUGACUGUGUGGUGCGGUAUUUAGGACAUUUACUUUGAGGAAAUUAGAGUGUUUCAAGCAAGCGCACGCUUUGAAUACAUUAGCAUGGAAUAAUAAGAUAGGACCUCGGUUCUAUUUUGUUGGUUUCUAGAGCUGAGGUAAUGAUUAACAGGGACAGUCAGGGGCACUCGUAUUCCGCCGAGAGAGGUGAGAUUCUCAGACCAGCGGAAGACGAACCACUGCGAAAGCAUUUGCCAGGGAUGUUUUCAUCG